UGGGACAAGCCCUGGAAACGGGGUCUAAUACCGGAUAAUACUUCCACUCGCAUGGGUGGGGGUUGAAAGCUCCGGCGGUGAAGGAUGAGCCCGCGGCCUAUCAGCUUGUUGGUGAGGUAGUGGCUCACCAAGGCGACGACGGGUAGCCGGCCUGAGAGGGCGACCGGCCACACUGGGACUGAGACACGGCCCAGACUCCUACGGGAGGCAGCAGUGGGGAAUAUUGCACAAUGGGCGAAAGCCUGAUGCAGCGACGCCGCGUGAGGGAUGACGGCCUUCGGGUUGUAAACCUCUUUCAGCAGGGAAGAAGCGAAAGUGACGGUACCUGCAGAAGAAGCGCCGGCUAACUACGUGCCAGCAGCCGCGGUAAUACGUAGGGCGCAAGCGUUGUCCGGAAUUAUUGGGCGUAAAGAGCUCGUAGGCGGUCUGUCGCGUCGGAUGUGAAAGCCCGGGGCUUAACCCCGGGUCUGCAUUCGAUACGGGCAGACUAGAGUGUGGUAGGGGAGAUCGGAAUUCCUGGUGUAGCGGUGAAAUGCGCAGAUAUCAGGAGGAACACCGGUGGCGAAGGCGGAUCUCUGGGCCAUUACUGACGCUGAGGAGCGAAAGCGUGGGGAGCGAACAGGAUUAGAUACCCUGGUAGUCCACGCCGUAAACGGUGGGAACUAGGUGUUGGCGACAUUCCACGUCGUCGGUGCCGCAGCUAACGCAUUAAGUUCCCCGCC
rnacentral:rRNA from 1 species